rnacentral:rRNA from 1 species
AACGAACGCUGGCGGCAUGCCUAACACAUGCAAGUCGAACGAGAUCUUCGGGUCUAGUGGCGCACGGGUGCGUAACGCGUGGGAAUCUGCCCUUUGGUUCGGAAUAACAGUUGGAAACGACUGCUAAUACCGGAUGAUGACGAAAGUCCAAAGAUUUAUCGCCAGAGGAUGAGCCCGCGUAGGAUUAGCUAGUUGGUGUGGUAAAGGCGCACCAAGGCGACGAUCCUUAGCUGGUCUGAGAGGAUGAUCAGCCACACUGGGACUGAGACACGGCCCAGACUCCUACGGGAGGCAGCAGUGGGGAAUAUUGGACAAUGGGCGAAAGCCUGAUCCAGCAAUGCCGCGUGAGUGAUGAAGGCCUUAGGGUUGUGAAGCUCUUUUACCCGGGAUGAUAAUGACAGUACCGGGUGAAUAAGCUCCGGCUAACUCCGUGCCAGCCGCCGCAGUAA